GAUGCAGUAGACCGAUAUGCGUCGAUUGGUUAUCAUCAUUAUUUGGAUAUUGUAGACUUACUGUUUUUAAACAAACUAUACGAGAGCACACGACGAUUCUAAACAUUUUUUAUUCCUUUCCAUUUCAAACCUCUCUCUGUUUCUUUCCUCCCUUAUUCUUCUUAUCUUUCUUCUUCUUCUUCUUCUCCUGUUGGAGUUUAUUAUUACACCGAACUGUCAAAACAGAUCAGUUAGAUUUACGUGAAAUACGUGAUUUUUAAUUCAACAACCUAGAAAAUAAGUGUAUUUAUUAAUAUUCCAGUUAUGUGAGGAACCAGUUAAAUCUCAGGAUCUUAUGAAUUAUUCCUACGUCAGUUGGAAAAAAUAUUUAAUCUAAUUACUUGUUGUCUGCCGAUGAUAAAAAAGGAAGACUUAAAAAUGGUAUGCAAGUUACCACACGAAUUCAAAAGAUACCAACGCAAUCGUAAUCAAUUAAGACAAAUUUUAGAUGAGACUCAACGUUCUCUCGAAGCUAUUAAUUCAGAAAAUUUUUUCCAUGGAGAAAAUAUCAUUGAACAACUGUUACCGCCAUUAACAUUAAGUAGAAUCCUACACAUUUUGCAAAAUUCUCCAGCCAUAGUCGUCCUUGGUCAAGACAAUAAAUCCAAAGCAGCGUUGAUAAAUAAUUUACUUUCCACUGAUAUUUUACCAGCAACAAACGGCUUAUGGAGGUGGGCCAAAUUUACUUACGGUCAUACGAAUCAGGCCAGUUUAGUGGUGGGUUUGGAAUAUGAAGUUGUAGGUAAAUUACAAGCCAACGAAAAAGUAUGGGGUACACUUCCAAUUGAAGAUUUGACUAAAUCUGAAAACGAAGAUGUUGAUUGCAUAACAGUUCUCGAAGUUAAACUUGAUUUGAGUAUAUUAAAAGAUGGAGUACAAAUUUAUGUUGCUCCAAGUAAUGGAGCAGUUAAAACCCUUGCUAAAGGAACUCUUGGCAUUCUACCAAUAUUUCUUUACGCCUUGAGUGACUAUCCUUUAUCGGAACAACAACUGGAAGAAUUAAGAGACCUGAAAGAAACAUAUCCUUACAAACCUGUAUUAUUUGUGUCGUCUCUUAUAAAUAUUUCAUUGGAUAGUAUAGAUGGAGGAUUAACUGAAUCAGAACAACAUAGACUACAAAGUACACUAACUCAGUGUGAUAAUAAUCUACUUAAAGAUAAGGAUGAUGUUGAUUUAGAUCAAAUAAAUUCUCUUGGAUUAAUGUGGCUAGAUCAACUGAAUAAUUUAGGCUAUCUUGGAACAGAAGAAUCCGUUGAAGUUGAACAAUUACCAUGGUUGGUUGGCGGUCAAUGCAUUAAUUCUAGCAAUAUAAUAAACUCACGCAAAAAAAUGGAUAGAAUUUUAUAUUUUAUUCGAGGUUGCCUUCAUAGUUAUCUUGUUAAUGCCAGUAAUUUUUUAAAUGAAGUACAUACAACAAGUUUACGUAAAUUUAUCUUAAGUGCCUUUGAUAUGGCACGUCAAAUUCAGAUUACUCCUAAGAGAAUACAAUAUGCUCAACAGAAAGAAAAUGAAUUGUAUGCUAAUCUGAUGAAAAUUGUUAAUGACAAGCAAGAGGAAUUAAUGGAAUUGAUAGAAAAUAUUAUUCAAGAAAUGAGAAACGAUAUUAUUUUAUCUACCGAUGAUUUGCAACAAUAUCAAAACUUUCCUUUUGGUACGAACGAAAGAGCAGAAUGGUCCGUGACGGUGCGAGCAGCUACUUCGGAGAUGCAAAGAUUUGUACUUGGACGUUUGCGUGAAAGAGUUGCAAAAAAGCUUGUAAGCUCUGUAGAAUGUUUAAGAGAAACAUUUAUAGGCACGUUACAACGGUGCUUAUUGAGUCUAGAAAAAACUUGUGAUCACGAUUCUUCUUUAUUAGCUAGCGAUGCCUUAAAACAAAUACUUUCUGCAGCUUACAAUGUGGAACUUCAUAACUCCUCCCCAUCUCUCGUACAUUCUUUUCUAGAAAGAUUACGGCAACUUUUUAAGUCUCUUCCUUUGCCAUGGUCUCCUACACCAACCUUAGAUGGAUCUUGGAGGAGAAAAGCUACCAUCGAUGUUCUAAAUUCUUUAUCUGCAGCAAGAUUAGCAAAAACAAUUUCAAUGCAAUUCAGAGAUAAAUUAAAAAUGUCUCACGAUGCAUUUCAAUCUUCUUUAAAGUCUCUUGAAAAUCAUUGUUCUGGAAAGUUAGAAAGGACAGAGGAACAAAGGGUAGCCAUUAGAAAAUUUUAUGCGCCAAGAUUAGCUAGAUUGUACUUGGAAUCCACAUCGAUGAUUGAUGCUGUUCGUUUUGGUAUACCACAUUACGGUAAAGAAAUUGGUCGUGGUCAAUAUGGUGUAGUAUUUGCAUGUAACGGGUGGGGAGGAGCUCCGGGACCUUGUGCUGUCAAAUCUGUUAUUCCACCAGAUGAACGACAUUGGAAUGAUUUAGCGAUGGAAUUUUACUACACCAGAUCGAUACCAGAUCAUAAAAGAAUUGUAAAAUUAAGAGGUUCAGUCAUAGAUCAAGCUUAUGGAAGUGGUUAUGGAAUGGGAACUGCAGUCUUAUUAAUUACAGACCGCUUAAGUAGAGAUUUGUAUUGUGGAAUACACGCAGGAUUAUCUUGGUUGGAACGUUUGCAAAUUGCUAUUGAUGUCUUGGAAGGAAUACGUUAUCUUCAUUCUCAAGGACUUGUUCAUAGAGACAUUAAGUUGAAUAAUGUGCUCCUUGAUACAGAAAAUAGGGCUAAACUGACUGACCUUGGCUUUUGUAUCACUGAAGCUAUGAUGUCAGGAAGUAUAGUAGGUACACCUGUUCAUAUGGCACCAGAACUUCUUUCUGGACAUUAUGACAGUAGUGUAGAUGUCUAUGCCUUCGGCAUUCUGUUCUGGCAUUUAUGCGCCGGGCAUGUCAAAGUGCCAAACUCCUAUGAACAAUUUCAAAACAAAGAACAAUUAUGGACUAAUGUGAAAAAAGGCAUUAGACCAGAACGCCUGCCACAUUUUGAUGAGGAGUGUUGGAGACUAAUGGAACAAUGUUGGUCUGGGGAACCUUCUAAACGGCCGUUACUCGGAGCAAUUCUUCCAGUACUUGAAUCUAUUCAACGAAAAGCAGAAAGAGAUAACAGAUUAUGCAGAGUCCAAACUGUUUGAUUAAUGCAACGGAACUUUAAUUUUAAAGCUGUUAAUACGCCUACCUAAGAGACUAGUUUAUCUUACAAACAAUUUAAAUGACGGAUAUAUAUAGUAUUAUAAAACCUACUUCGAUAAUAUGAUUUUGAACAAUUUUUUAAGAUGCCCAAAUGAAUGGAGGAAUAAUCUCUGAAGAUAUUUGGAAAAG
rnacentral:misc_RNA from 1 species